GGUGGCUCAGUGGUAGGGUACUUGCCUUGCAUGCAAGAGGCCCUGGCUUCGAUUCCUCAGCACCA
rnacentral:tRNA from 1 species